GACGAACGCUGGCGGCGUGCUUAACACAUGCAAGUCGAACGGAAAGGCCCUGCUUUUGUGGGGUGCUCGAGUGGCGAACGGGUGAGUAACACGUGAGUAACCUGCCCUUGACUUUGGGAUAACUUCAGGAAACUGGGGCUAAUACCGGAUAGGAGCUCCUGCUGCAUGGUGGGGGUUGGAAAGUGUCGGCGGUUGGGGAUGGACUCGCGGCUUAUCAGCUUGUUGGUGGGGUAGUGGCUUACCAAGGCUUUGACGGGUAGCCGGCCUGAGAGGGUGACCGGCCACAUUGGGACUGAGAUACGGACCAGACUGCUACGGGAGGCAGAAGUGGGGAAUAUUGCAGAAUGGGCGGAAGCCUGAUGCAGCAACGCCGCGUGCGGGAUGACGGCCUUCGGGUUGUAAACCGCUUUCGCCUGUGACGAAGCGUGAGUGACGGUAAUGGGUAAAGAAGCACCGGCUAACUACGUG
rnacentral:rRNA from 1 species